rnacentral:rRNA from 1 species
AACUGCUUUUAUAUAGGAAGAACUACAGCUACGUGUAGCUGUUUGACGGUACUAUACGAAUAAGGACCGGCUAACUCCGUGCCAGCAGCCGCGGUAAUACGGAGGGUCCAAGCGUUAUCCGGAUUUAUUGGGUUUAAAGGGUCCGUAGGCGGGUUAUUAAGUCAGUGGUGAAAUCCUACAGCUCAACUGUAGAACUGCCAUUGAAACUGGUAACCUUGAGUAUAAUUGAAGUGGGCGGAAUGUGUCAUGUAGCGGUGAAAUGCUUAGAUAUGACACAGAACACCGAUUGCGAAGGCAGCUCACUAAGUUAUAACUGACGCUGAGGGACGAAAGCGUGGGUAGCGAACAGGAUUAGAUACCCUGGUAGUCCACGCCGUAAACGAUGUACACUCGUUGCUGGCGAUACACAGUCAGUGACCAAGCGAAAGUGUUAAGUGUACCACCUGGGGAGUACGCUCGCAAGAGUGAAACCCAAAGGAAUUGACGGGGGCCCGCACAAGCGGUGGAGCAUGUGGUUUAAUUCGAUGAUACGCGAGGAACCUUACCUGGGCUUAAAUGCAGAACGACAGACUAUGAAAAUAGUUUUUCUUCGGACGUUUUGCAAGGUGCUGCAUGGUUGUCGUCAGCUCGUGCCGUGAGGUGUUGGGUUAAGUCCCGCAACGAGCGCAACCCCUAUUCUUAGUUGCCAGCGAGUAAUGUCGGGGACUCUAAGAAAACUGCCCGCGCAAGCGUGGAGGAAGGUGGGGAUGACGUCAAAUCAUCACGGCCCUUACGUCCAGGGCCACACACGUGCUACAAUGGUAGGGACAGAGGGCAGCCACCUGGUGACAGGGAGCGAAUCCUAAAACCCUAUCUCAGUUCGGAUCGAAGUCUGCAACUCGACUUCGUGAAGCUGGAAUCGCUAGUAAUCGCGCAUCAGCCAUGGCGCGGUGAAUACGUUCCCGGGCCUUGUACACACCGCCCGUCAAGCCAUGGAAGCUGGGAGUGCCUGGAGUCGGUAACCGCAAGGAGCCGCCUAGGGUAAAACUGGUAACUGGGGCUAAGUCGUAACAAGGUAGCCGUACCGGAAGGUGCGGCUGGAACACCUCCUUUUU